rnacentral:rRNA from 1 species
CAAGUCGAGGGGCAUCGGGGAGCGAAGCUUGCUUUGCUCCGCCGGCGACCGGCGCACGGGUGAGUAACGCGUAUGCAACCUGCCCGUUUCAGCGGGAUAACCCGGAGAAAUCCGGCCUAAUACCGCAUGUGGCCGAGGGAAGGCAUCUUCUUUCGGCCAAAGGAGGCGACUCCGGAGACGGAUGGGCAUGCGUGACAUUAGCUUGUUGGCGGGGUAACGGCCCACCAAGGCGACGAUGUCUAGGGGUUCUGAGAGGAAGGUCCCCCACACUGGUACUGAGACACGGACCAGACUCCUACGGGAGGCAGCAGUGAGGAAUAUUGGUCAAUGGGCGAGAGCCUGAACCAGCCAAGUCGCGUGAAGGAUGACGGCCCUACGGGUUGUAAACUUCUUUUGUCAGGGAGCAAUUGGGUCCACGCGUGGGCUUAGCGAGAGUACCUGAAGAAAAAGCAUCGGCUAACUCCGUGCCAGCAGCCGCGGUAAUACGGAGGAUGCGAGCGUUAUCCGGAUUUAUUGGGUUUAAAGGGUGCGCAGGCGGAAUGUCAAGUCAGCGGUAAAAUUUCGGGGCUCAACCCCGUCGUGCCGUUGAAACUGGCGUUCUUGAGUGAGCGAGAAGUAUGCGGAAUGCGUGGUGUAGCGGUGAAAUGCAUAGAUAUCACGCAGAACUCCGAUUGCGAAGGCAGCAUACCGGCGCUCAACUGACGCUCAUGCACGAAAGCGUGGGUAUCGAACAGGAUUAGAUACCCUGGUAGUCCACGCAGUAAACGAUGAAUACUAACUGUCCGGGCAGAAUGAUGCCUGGG